rnacentral:rRNA from 1 species
UACGAAGGGGGCGAGCGUUGUUCGGAUUUACUGGGCGUAAAGGGCGCGCAGGCGGCUCAUUUUGUCAGGCGUGAAAGCCCCGGGCUUAACCUGGGAACUGCGUUUGAUACGGAUGGGCUAGAGUUCGGGAGAGGAGAGUGGAAUUCCCAGUGUAGAGGUGAAAUUCGUAGAUAUUGGGAAGAACACCGGUGGCGAAGGCGGUCUGCUGGGCAGUUUCUGACACUGAUGCGCGACAGCGUGGGGAGCAAACAGG